UUGACCUCGGAUCAGGUAGGGAUACCCGCUGAACUUAAGCAUAUCAAUAAGCGGAGGAAAAGAAACCAACAGGGAUUGCCCUAGUAACGGCGAGUGAAGCGGCAACAGCUCAAAUUUGAAAUCUGGCU
rnacentral:rRNA from 1 species